UGAUUUUUCUUCUUCCAGAUCCUGCCCGGAGUUCGUAUCAUCAUCGCCAACCCGGAGACCAAAGGACCGCUGGGAGACUCCCACCUCGGAGAGAUCUGGGUGCACAGCGCUCAUAACGGCAGCGGUUACUACAGCGGCUACGGCGAGGAGGUCCUUCAGUCCGAUCACUUCAACUCCAGACUCAGUUUCGGAGACACUCAGACGGUCUGGGCCAGGACGGGAUACCUGGGCUUCCUACGCCGCACCGAGCUCACCGACGCCAACGGAGAGAGACACGACGCUCUGUUUGUGGUCGGCGCUCUGGAGGAGGCCAUGGAGCUGCGGGGGAUGAGGUACCAUCCCAUCGACAUCGAGACCUCCGUCAUCCGCGCGCACAAGAGCAUC